CUUAAAGGUUGCUCUUGUUUGACAAGUGCAUCCUUUGACAAGAAGUAAGUUAAAAAAAAUCAAAAAUUAAACAUUUCACUCCUCCUUCGUGGGAAGGGCGGCUCUUAGAACUGCUGCACCCUUUGCUCUCUCCUUUCUCGCUGCUCCCCUAAACCCAAACAACUUCACAGGCGACGCCUCUGGUCAACUUCACCGGCGACGCCUCUGCUCGUCUUCACCGGCGACGUCGACGCCUCAUCUCAUCUUCAUAAUAUCAAGACUGGAUCGUUUUCAUCACUCCAAGUCUCCAAGUACGGAGUAUAUCUGAACACUACCUGUUCCCAGUUCCCAAUUCCCAGGUCUUCGCAAGUCCUCGCACCCUCGCAGCGGCCAAGCCAGGAAUAACAAUGGCGACUGACCUCAAUUCCCAAUUCCUAGAUUGAUUUGAGUUCUCAUAUAUCAUCAAGGUGUUCUUAACUCUAAAGAUCUUAUAAGCCCUGUGAACAAUGUAACAAACUCUAGUUGUUAAAGGACCUGGUGGUAAGGUCCUAAUCGAGUAUGACAUUUCGGUUUUGGUAUCAUGUAAUUUCCGCAAAAUGCUGCUAAAAGGUCAAUGGCGGGACUGUAAGUGAGAUUAGCUGCAUCAUAGUAAAGGGUACAGAUGUUGGAUCAGAGACUGCCCUUCUUCAGAUGGUUCAACUUGUGGAGGCUGCGUAGUUGGCUAGAGCCUAUUUUUAGAAGUUGGCUGACCAAAUCUUAAGGUGUUUCUUCUAACUGUGAAAAUCAGGUGGACUCUCUAAGAAGGUUGUUGCAGUGAUACCAAGGGAGGUUCCCUUCGGCCUUUGGACUCGAUGAUGAAACGUAUUUGUAUAUCGGGUUCAUUGUUUGUAUGAUGGUUAAGGCCAUUCAAUGAGAUCAACAAAAGAUAUUGCUCUGAGUCUGGUGGUGACUGCUUGGACGAAGUCAAGGAGAUUGGUGAAGGUAAAACUGUAAGCACGUAUAAGGGGCCGCUGCUGCUCUGUCGGUGGAGAAUAUUGCAGUAUCUCCUUUAAAGACCGGUCCUGAAAGUGGAUGAA